CCCUUAGAUGUUCUGGGCCGCACGCGCGCUACACUGACGAAUGCAACGAGCUUAUAACCUUGGCCGAAAGGUCUGGGUAAUCUUUGAACGCUGUUCGUGAUUGGGAUAGACCUUUGCAAUUAUGGGUCUUCAACGAGGAAUUCCUAGUAAACGCAAGUCAUCAGCUUGCAUUGAUUACGUCCCUGCCCUUUGUACACACCGCCCGUCGCACCUACCGAUUGAAUGGUCCGGUGAAGCCUCCGGAUUGGCGCGCACCUCGGUGCCGCCGAGAAGUUGGCUAAACCUUACCAUUUAGAGGAAGGUGAAGUCGUANCA
rnacentral:rRNA from 1 species